UUGUUGUUGUAAUUCUGGAUUUCCAGCCAGCGGGGGCCCUUCUCCACUCAAUCAAGGGCAACAUGCCCUCUGCCGACAUUUUGUAUUCUUUGGCCUGCUUUCCCUUGGGCAAAGGGAUUCAGUUAUAAACCUCCUCUCCUGGCUCUUUUUCAUCUGGACAGUGGCCCUGGGCCACCAUAGGAUGGUGUUGUGCAUGCUCAAGUGUUUUGGAACAUUACUGUGAUUACUGAGUAGAAAUUUAAUUUAGAAGGAUUCAUCUGGAUGGCACAACCUUUAUUUACCUCUGCAGUGACUUCCUCACAGAUGUCAUGGAGGAAAAGAAGCUGAAAAAUAUUCUUUCAUGACAAGAUCAAGAAGAACACAGCUUGAAGAGAGAGAAGUAAGAAGUUCAUCUAAGGUGUUAAAGCAGAGUUCAGAUGCAUUUGUUAUGGUCCAGAUCCUUCCUACUCCAUC